rnacentral:tRNA from 1 species
GCGGGAAUAGCUCAGUUGGUAGAGCACGACCUUGCCACGGGGUCGCGAGUUCGAGUCUCGUUUCCCGCUCCA